ensembl:lncRNA
CAGGACUCAGUUUUCAAAGAACCACUCAACCUCCAAAGAGCAGCAGCAGAACACCCCACACUGUGUGAUCUGGGAACUUUCCAUCGUUACAUGUUUCUGUCGUAACGGAUGGGAAGGGUGGCGCUGCGACUCACCUCCCAGUGCACCCCUCACUUCAGCUUCACACUGUUGGGAGAGUGAUGCAUGUUUUUACCCCCAUUCUCAGGAAACUGGCUUUAAGAAUUUAAGGAAUUUGGCCAAAAGCAUGUGCCCAUACGUAGCAAAGCAGGGAACAGGGACCAGCUGUCUGAGCUGAGCUCAAACCAAUAGCCUGCAGUUAUGUCUGCCCUUCCUGAGAUCCCCACACCUGCCUGCCUGGCAAGGCCCCAAGUCAAGUCGACCCUAUGGUUCAUUUCUGUCGACAAAAUAGAGCUCCAGGCCUGGAAAAGUUUGUUUCAGAAGUCAUAGGAGGGCUUACUAUCCCAUUCAUUCUUUUUUUUUUUUUUUUAGUUCUACCAGUUUAUUGCUACCAGCCUGUCACCCUCCACCCUCAUGCACACAUGCUCAGUCAUGUGACCCCAUGGACUGCAGCCUGCCAGGCUCCUCUGUCCAUGGACUUUUCCAGGCAAGAAUACUGGAUCUCUCGGUUGUGUCCGACUCUUUGUGACCCAUGGACUGUAGCCCGCCAGGCUUCUCUUUCCGUGGAAUUCUCCAGGCGAGAAUAUUGGAGUGGGUUGCCACACCCUUCUCCGGGUGCUGCUCUCUACGUGGUCUAAUAACCUUUCUCAUUCACACAUAUUCCCAAAUUCCAGAACCACACUGUCUUAGCUUUUUUCAGGAGAGCAGGAGUAUGUGGAAGUAGCCACACAGAAAGCAUUAGGAUCCUACAGAUCUGAGGACUCCCAGCACAAAAGGAAUGGCUGACCUCCUCUGUGCCCUUAUGUCUGGAGGAGCCCAGCUCCAUUCGAGGACAAAAUGACACAGUUGCAGUGGGUCCUGGUUUGUUUCUCCUGGCCAUGGACUUUUCC